rnacentral:rRNA from 1 species
GGCUGGUUGGCUACGUACGGGAGGGAUAACCGCUGAAAGCAUCUAAGCGGGAAGCCUGUUUUGAGAUGAGGUUUCUUUUGAGGUUCCCUCUAGACUAGGGGGUUGAUAGGCCAGAUCUGGAAGCGUAGUAAUGCGUUAAGGUGACUGGUACUAAUUUUACCGAGUAAUAACA